rnacentral:rRNA from 1 species
UACGUAGGGACCGAGCGUUGUCCGGAUUCAUUGGGCGUAAAGAGCGUGUAGGCGGCCAGGUAGGUCGGUUGUGAAAACUGGAGGCUCAACCUUCAGACGUCGACCGAAACCAUCUGGCUAGAGUCCGGGAGAGGCGAGUGGAAUUCCUGGUGUAGCGGUGAAAUGCGCAGAUAUCAGGAGGAACACCAAUUGCGAAGGCAGCUCGCUGGGACGUUACUGACGCUGAGACGCGAAAGCGUGGGGAGCAAACAGG